AUACGGGGGGUGCAAGCGUUAAUCGGAAUUACUGGGCGUAAAGCGCGCGUAGGCGGUUAGGUAAGUUGGAUGUGAAAUCCCCGGGCUCAACCUGGGAACUGCAUUCAAAACUGUUUAACUAGAGUAUGGUAGAGGGAAGUGGAAUUCCAGGUGUAGCGGUGAAAUGCGUAGAUAUCUGGAGGAACAUCAGUGGCGAAGGCGACUUCCUGGACCAAUACUGACGCUGAGGUGCGAAAGCGUGGGGAGCAAACAGGAUUAGAUACCCGAGUAGUCC
rnacentral:rRNA from 1 species